rnacentral:tRNA from 1 species
CGUAACAAGGUAGCCGUACUGGAAGGUGUGGCUGGAUCACCUCCUUUUUAAGGAUUCAAAGAGUCGAAAACAA